CUUCUUCAUUUAUGCUCCACUGUCUGUGCACAUCAAAGUUCACUUCUUUCUCUUCAGCAUUCUUCAGACACAAUAUGAUCAUAUGAAAGUGAAUGGUUUUGGAAUAAGAGCAGAGCUAGGAGAAGUAGGCGCAGACACGGAAGUGGUUACAGUUGAUUGAGAAGUUGGAUUGAGUAUGAUCUCUGCUACAACAAAUAUAAGGGAGAACUCUUGAGUAAUUAUAAUCCUCUCAUCUUUCAUCAUGUACCAAGGCAUAAUACAAGCCUCUGAAAGUCACUGGUUUGUGGAGAGAUUAUGGUGGGAUCAUAACCUCAUUGUGAAUAUAUCAUUGUUGAAAGGAUCUUAAAUUACAUACUACUUGUAUCACUUCUCUGUCUUCAUUGAGUUUUGUAGAUAAUGAUGUGAUAAUACUCUUGUUGAGUAGAAGUGUAAGAUCAAGAACAAUGAUCCAUUGUUAAACUAAUUUUCUGUCAUUCUGAGAUUAACAAAUUGGCUUUUAGUGAA